UGGCGAAACGUCGACCACCCCACAUCGAUUCAGUGACCGCCUACCAUUGUUCUCUCUGGCUGGCCCGAAACCCCUAUUUUCCUCUCCUUUAGCCGACGUACCACCCAACCACCCCUUGUGCUGUUUAACUCGCCGCUUAUUUUUGGUCACACGAUGCUGUUUGAAGCCAUCAAAACGAUAAUAUUCGCUGUAGUGCUUAUCAUGGGUAGUUGGAUCUUGGAGUUGGAUUUGAGUUUUUGAAAGGAUUUAGCUGUUGUCCAGCCUUUAAGAAACUCAGAAUUGGGCGUUUUGACACAACUUGGGCCAACUUGAAAUGAAGAAGGCGUAUAGUCCGGAGGGAUCGAGUUAUUGAUAGUGAGUGGCUCAUUUUCAAACUUUCUUUGCAUAUAUACAUGUUAUUUUAUAAUUUCGUUUGAAAAUUACCAUAACUUAAACUUGUUAUGACUACGUUUUCAUUUAUGUUUAAACAACGUGUUUACACAUCAUGAUUUUAAGAAUGUUUAUGACUUGAAUUUUAUAAAAGCAGGUUUCAAGUUCUUAUUUUCAUUUAUACUUAAACGAUGUGUUUAUUCAUCACGAUUUUAAGAAUGAGUAUGGCUUGAACUCUAUAAAAUCGUGUUUCAAGUUUUCUAUUAUAUUUGGUUUUGAAAUAUGAUUAACUGAUAUUUAUGGCGAACGAGAAUGUGAUUUCCCUAAGGCUAAGCGAAUGUGUUUCCGUAGCACCGCUUAUGGUUGUCAGGAGGUUUCAAGGCUGAAAAAGACUGUAAUUGGAGAUCCGAGAACCUGAGCCUAGGUAAGGACAUAGAUGGAAGAUUGUGAUAUGGCUUCGAGCCUAGCUUAACCAAUGGUGGGUGGCUCUAUGUCCACAUAUGAGCGGAUAUGGAGGUUGUUACUAUUAAAUAUGCAUGAUCUCUGUUUGGCCGUGCGUUUUCUUGUGGAUAUGGAUCAUGUGUGAGCUACUAUGGGCCGUUUAUUUAGUAUGCUAUCAUGGUUGGAUUGGAUCGAGGUUGAUAUCGUGGCUGGUACUAAAUAUGCGUGAGAUAGUUUUGGCCACAUGAUUCCCUUGGUCAUGUGCGAGCUACUUUGGCCGUGUAUUUAGACAUCUUGCCAUGGUUGGAUUGGGUACAGGUUUAUUGGCCUUAUUUGCGAUUUAUGGUAAUAUAUGAUUUUAAUGCUUUAAUUACUAUUUUGUUACCGAUGUCUUAUUUAAAUAGUUUGAAAACAUGUCUUAUGAGCUUUUACUUUUAAACAAUUUGCCACUCACUGAGUUUUAGCUCACAUUUUUAAUGUUUUCUCCCCCGGUAGCAGUCAAAGACCAAGCCAUCGUUGUGCUCCCUGUCAUUAAUUGUAAACUGUCAUUCUUAUUAUAUGUAUUUACUUAAGUUUUGUAUUGUAUAAUAGGGUGGUCAGAAAUAGCAAGGGUCACGCUAAGGUCACAUGUUUUGAAAUCCCUUUUGGAUUGUAAUUAUUUUAUAACUAACAUCUAAUUUGGAUAGAACUUUGAUUGAGACUC